rnacentral:rRNA from 1 species
GAACAGGGAAAAGCCCAGCGCUGAAGCCUGUGGCCAAUUGGCUACUAGGCAAUGUGGCGUUUAGGUCGUUUCAUAGAGGUUCCGCCCCACCCUAAGUCCAUCAAUGAGUACGGUAGUAUGGACGUGGCCCAGAGAGGGUGAAAGGCCCGUGGGGGUGGGGAUUCGAUUGGCCGGAGCUUCUCUGAGUAGACCUUGGAGUCGGGUUGUUUGUGAAUGCAGCCCAAAGUGGGUGGUAAACUCCAUCCAAGGCUAAAUACUAGCACGAGUCCGAUAGCGAACAAGUACCGUGAGGGAAAGUUGAAAAGUACUUUGAAGAGAGAGUAAACAGUGCGUGAAACCGCUCAGAAGUAAACGGGUAGAGUUGAACUGCAAGCUCUGAGAAUUCAGCUGGUGAGUGUGUUAUGGGCUUGGCCAUGUUGGUGGACUCCGGGGUCUGCGUAGUAGCAGGUCUCUGCCUUCGGGUGGGGAUGCGCGAUACACUUAUCAAGUGUUGCGCGCUCCGGUUGAUCUUCGGCCUGCUCGUCAGUGCACUUUCUCAGAGUGUUCACCACGACCAGCACCGCUGUCUGGCUACUAUGGUUAAACCGACUAUGCACAGUCCUUGUGGUUAUGCAUAGCCGGGAUGGCAGGUGGCUCGUAGUAAGUUUGUGGCUUUGCUGCAUUCAUUGCUAUUGAAAGUUAUUAGCUGACCAUAGUGGUUCUGUGCAGUGUGUUGGAGACGGCGGCUUGAGUUGUGUGCAGGUGUUUCUGUUUGCUGACUUGUCCGGGUUCGGUUAUUUUGUUGCCUGUUUAAACAGGCCUAUUGAUAGCUCGGAUUCGUUCGGUGGAUGGUUGCAUUUGUGACUUCAUUUCUGGGGCCAAAAGUCUGUGGUGUAGUGGUAGACUUUCUACCUGACCCGUCUUGAAACACGGACCAAGGAGAGUAACAUGUGCGCGAGUCAUUGGGCGUUACGAAACCCACAGGCGAAAUGAAAGUAAAGGUCUGACUUGUUCAGACUGAGGUGAGAUCCUGUCGUUUCUCACGCGCGGUACUACCAAGCAUCGAGCGGCAGGCGCAUCACCGGCCCGUCCCAUGGCAGUUGAUUUUCGGUCAGUUUUCGGUCGGGGCGGAGCAUGAGCGUACAUGUUGAGACCCGAAAGAUGGUGAACUAUGCUUGCGCAGGUUGAAGCCAGAGGAAACUCUGGUGGAGGACCGCAGCGAUUCUGACGUGCAAAUCGAUCGUCAAACGUGAGUAUAGGGGCGAAAGACUAAUCGAACCAUCUAGAGCGGUCCCC